CCGAACGUUCUGUAUACUCUGUCCGGGAACAACAGUGAAGUCCGAGGAAUCGCCCCGUUGAAAAAUGAAACAGAUCCGACGAGGAAUCGGCACAUUUUGUAGAACUGUGUUUCAAGGCAUCGCACUUCCGGUAUCGUUGCCGAAUAGUACGGUUCGAAUGCAAGAUUUCCAAGCUCAGUGGUGAAAAAUUGGUAUAUGUGUGAAUCCAUCGAAGGUUCGUUACGGCCGGUCGGAAUGUCACUAAUAAGGGGGAAGGAAAAUUCCCUCGACUAUGUGAAUGAGUAUGCUUUCCCACCCGAGAGUCAUUGUGUGCGUAGGAUUGUCUUCUGCAUUCCGAGACUGGGUCCGGGCGAAUAUAAAAGCGACAACGACUGUUACAGCCAGAAGCUAUGGUUUGGUACAUGAAAUACCACACAGUGAGGGCUAACAAAAAACACAUAACUAUGAGGAGGAAUAGCCAGUGGAAGCGAAGGAGUGGAACCGUUGGGUGGAUUUCCGAAAUAUUCAUUUCAUCGGCGCCAAAGGGGAGCGAAACUACAUAAAUUGGAAUUCAGCUUUGUCGCGGCUAACUGCCCGACCCCAAGGGCGGUUCCAGGAGGAAACGAUGUUCAAAAUGACAGCUCUUGGCAGGGGUUCAAUGUGGGAGCGUAAGAAGAUGACAACAACCAAAGCAGGAAGAGAAACUACGACUCGGUGGCGACGCACGAAACGCACAUCUAUCCGAAGAUCUGCACGUUGAAAUUGCCACCUACACGACCUCGGCCGAAGCGCUCACCCCGGCCAAGGUUCGCCGAUUCCUGGUGCCGAACUAACACCAUAUGGCCAUAGGUUAUGGUCUAAAGCCAUGUGAUGUUUGCAUCGAGGGAAAGUGAAUUGCAAAGAAACAAAAGACGGUAAUGCCUUUGUUCAGUCCCUGAAGAGAAGAGAGGAAUAUUGCGUCGCAAAUUCAUCCCCUCCACCCUUUGUGAUUUCCUGUCAGCGAGCAUAGUGGACCAGCAGCGAGAAGCAGGGCAGUAUUUUUCCAUCCGUCAAAGAGUGUGCAACAAAUAGAGCUAAGAGAGAAGCAAAACCGCAGCAGAUGCAAGAGACUUACAAACGCAGAUGCAAGAUACAAACCAAACGUGUUCAAACGUGUUUUUCCUCCAUAAUAUGUAAGUAAACGAUUUAGAAUCCGGUCGCAACGUGAAAUAAAGAACAUCGGAUGUUUUUAUGCUGUAAACCUGUCGCAUAGUGUUAUUCUUUGUGCUCAAGCUGAUUCUCAAGAGUGUUUCCGCUGAGAAAUUUGCAAGUUAUAGCGUCCAAGGCUCGUUUCUCCCAGUGAAACGGUGCACCAUCCAACCAGAGCCUCCGCUCUCGAACUAUCGAAUAAACAGCCUUCAUGAUGAUUCUGAAAUUUAAAAAAAAACACCUUUAUGGAACCGUAUCCACCGUAUUCGCCUGAUAUGAAACGCUGUAAUUUCUUCCCUCCGCACAAGCUAAGGAAUGGCGAUAGAAUGAGGUUUGGGACGGAAGCAAGAAAGGAUAUAACCGAUGAACAAAUAAACAUGUGAAUAAAAUUAA